UACGUAGGGGGCAAGCGUUGUUCGGAAUUACUGGGCGUAAAGGGCGCGUAGGCGGCUCAUCAAGUCGGGAGUGAAAGCCCGGGGCUCAACCCCGGAAUGGCUUUCGAAACUGCUGAGCUAGAGUACAGAAGGGGCAACCGGAAUUCCCAGUGUAGCGGUGAAAUGCGUAGAUAUUGGGAAGAACACCUGAGGCGAAGGCGGGUUGCUGGGCUGAUACUGACGCUGAGGCGCGAAAGCCAGGGGAGCAAACGGG
rnacentral:rRNA from 1 species